rnacentral:lncRNA from 1 species
ACAGACACAGACACAGACACACACACGAAAGAAGGCCAUGUGAUGAUGGAGACAGAGAUUGGAGUGAGGCAGCUGCAAGCCAAAGAACACCAAGGACAGCUGGCAACCACCAGAAGCUAAGAAGUGAGAAAGGAUCUUCCCGUAGAGCUUUCAGAGAGAGAGCAUGGCCCUGUGGACACCUGAACUUUGGACUUUUAGCCUCCAGAACUAAAUCUCCAUAGAGGACAAGAGGGCAAAGCUGAGUACAGACCGUGACCUGAUGGAACAACUGAAAGAAGUUGGUGCACAGAGCAUUGGGGCACAUGUGGUGUGAGAGGAAGACUGGCCCUGAGCUAACAUCCUUGCUCAUCUUCCUCUACUUUAGAUAUGGGAUACCUGCCACAGCAUGGCUGGACAAGUGGUGCAUAGGUCCGCACCUGGGAUCCGAACCAGCGAACCCCAGGCCACCAAAGUGGAACGUGCUAACUUAAGCACUGUGCCACCAGGCUGGCCCCAAAAAUAUACUGUUAAUGUUAACAUUAUAUCAUAAAUCGACAUUUAUUGAACAAUCUGCAAGUCACUUCAGGGGAUAAAUACAUGUAAGACAUUGUCUCUGUUCUUAAGG